UGUGUAUGUGUGUGGUACAGACAUGGUUACGUCCUAUCUGCUAUCUGUGUGUGUGUGUGUGUGUGUGUGUGUGAUAUGUGUGUGUGUGUGUGUGAGUGUGU